CACCAUCUCAGCUGUCUAAUCAAAUUAUCAAUGGUUAAAAUCACUAUUAACGAAAUCGUUAACGACACCCACCAAAUCCCGUCGCUAAUGAUACCCCGCUCUCCACGCCUGUGAAGGCGAGAACCACUCCCACCCCGCCCCCGCCUCGCGCAACCGCCGUUGCCCCCGCCGCUCCCAUUUGCGCGACAUCCAGGACCUCGGCUGGGGCGAGUGCCCCGUCGGCUCCGUCCUCUCCAUCCAUGCCGGGUCCGCCGCCUCCUCCCCUGUGCCGCACGCCACCAUCCACCCGUGCUCCGCCGCCUCCUCCCCCUAGCCGCUCGCCACCAUCGACCUGGUCUCCGCCGCCGUCGUCCAGCGCGCCUCCCCUCCUAGCACACUCGGCGCCUCCUCCAGCCUGCCUUCCGCAGCGCCCGGCGUGGAGGGGAACAGGAAGCGGGUACUGAGGGGCCAGGGGAAGGCGGCGACCAAGAAGAAGGAGAGGCGCAUGUAGUUUGGAUCCACGCUGCCCGCCGCUCAGAAUCUUUCCAUGAGUUUCCUCCCUCUAGAUCGCCUUCCCGUUUCCAUAAUAAGUUUCCCCGCAUAUGGUUGGUGAAUGCAUACAUUUGCACGUAGCGGCCAUUUGCUGCAUCCGCUCGAAGCAGACACUGAUCAACCAAUCAUGGCUACGUCCUGAAUUUGUUCUUUAGCCAUCGGUUAAUGGCUGCUGUAAUUUUGAUUGGUUCUAAUGGCCGCUGUAAUUUUGAUUGCGUGUGAUUUGUUUCCAGUUCCCUCUGCUUCCCAAGAGCAGCCUGCUGCAGAGGCGAGCCAGGGCGGCGCCGACGAGGUCCGCGUCGACGGCCUCCCCGGCUGCGCGAGGGCCUUCGAGAUCUGCGCCAAGUUCUGCUACGGCAUGGUGGUCACGCUCAACCCGUACAACGUCGUGGCCGCGAGGUGCGCCGCCGAGCACCUUGGCAUGACGGAGGACGUGGACAAGAGCAACCUCGUGUUCAAGAUCGAGGUGUUCCUCAACUCGGACGUCUUCCGGAGCUGGAAGGACUCCAUCAUCGCGCUGCAGAGCACCGUCGCGCUGCUGCCGUGGUCCGAGGAGCUCAGGCUCGUCGCGCGGUGCGUCGACUCCAUCGCCGCCAAGGCCACGGCCAGCCCCGGGAGCGUGGUCUGGUCCUACACGUACAACCGGAAGGCGGCGUCGUCUGAUGAGAUCGUCGAGGCUCGCCGGUGCUCGUCGUCGUCGCCGGCGGUGCCACGGGACUGGUGGGUGGAGGACCUGUGCGAGCUGGACGUGGAGCUCUACAAGCGCGUCAUGGUGGCGGUCAAGUCCAGGGGGGAUAGGCUGCCUCCCGAUGUCGUCGGGGAAGCUCUCAGGGCCUACGCCGCGAGGUGGCUCCCCGAGAGUUGCCGGCGCGGCGACACCCCGGCAGAUGACGACGAUGCUUGCGCCUUGGAAGUGCUCGAGACCAUCGUAUGGCUCAUGCCGUCCGACGGCGACGGGUCGUCGCCGUGCGGCUGCUCGUGCCAGUUCCUCCUGAACCUGCUGAAGCUCGCCGUCCUGGUCGGGGCAGGGGAGCUGCUGAGGGAGGAGCUCCUGGACAGGAUCGUCCUGCAGCUGCACGAUGCAUCGGUGAACGAUCUCCUGAUACCGGCCAAGCCGCCGGCGCAGACUGCCUACGACGUCGACCUGGUCGAGGCGCUGGUCGGCCGGUACACGCGGCGCGCCGGAGUGGACGGCAUUUACAGGGAGGAUGUGUUCGAGUCGAGACGAACGUGGAGGCGGACGGCCCUUCCUUGCCGGCGCUGUGCAAGCUCGUCGAUAGGUACUUGGCCGAGGUCGCCGCCGACCCGAACCUGCCGGUUUCGAGCUUCGUCGGGCUGUCGACCUCCAUGCCGGAGUCGGCCAGGCCAUCGCACGAUGCCCUGUACACCGCCAUUGAUGUCUUCCUCAAGAUGCACCCGAAUCUAUCCAAGGUGGAGAAGAGGAGGAUCUCGAGCUGAUGGACGUGAAGAAGCUGUCCAAGGAGGCGAGCAUCCACGCGGCGCAGAACGACCGCCUCCCGCUGCGCGUGGUUGUGCAGGUGCUCUUCUUCGAGCAGAUGCGCGCGGCGGCGGCGGGGAGCGCGAGCGCGGCGCUCCUGCUGGCCGCCGCCGGCGACGUCAACGCGCACCUGGAACUGGACGACAACGACGGCGGCGGCGACUGCUGGAAGAACCGCGCGCUGGCGCUGGCGCUGCCGGAGCCACCGACCCCGUCGGCGGCCCUGAGGAAGCAGAUCGGGAGCAUGAGCCUGAAGCUGGUGGGCGAGGAGCGCCGCCACGCCGAGGACGUCGUCAGCGACGGGCGGCGGCUGGCGAGGAGCGCCAGCAUCGCGAACCAGAGCAGCAGGAUGUCGCUGUCGUCGCGGUCGCGGCGGAUCUUCGACCGGCUGUGGGUGGUCGGGAAGCCGCCGGGGCCGGGCGAGGUGGUGUGCAAGAGCUCCGACACGUCCGGGAGCUCGCAGAGCCCGCGGUCGUCGGGCAAGCCGCUGGGGUCCCAAAGUCGUCCGGCGGCUCGUCGUCGAGGAACCGGCGCUACUCGGUGUCGUAGGCCGAGGCUGGCUGUACAGAGGAGUCGGUCGCCGUCGCCGGACCAGUGGACGCCGACGACGGGUCAACUGCUGCUUGCAUUGCAUGCAUGCUAACUUGAACUUCAAUUCGGGGGUCUGUUUUUUCCGGAGAACGAUCAGCUGUGGUAGAAUUUAGUGAUUUUUAUGAUUGUUUCGUCUGAACUUGA